rnacentral:misc_RNA from 1 species
AUCAAAUCAAAACCCCCUUCUUCUAUUUCCUGCUCGCUGUUUCCCCUCCUCGAUCUCCUUUUCUCCUUCUUCCUUCUCCCUUUAACCAGCCUAGUCGCUUUCGACGGUCACCUAACCUCGCUCAUCGUCCAGUGCAUCUCCCUAUAGAAUAUCCUUUUUGCUCAAUUCCAUCUCUUCUAACCUCAAUGAUCUUCCAAUUCCACGAGUACACCA